rnacentral:lncRNA from 1 species
CGCUUACCGUUUCUUUCAAUUGCUAACAUGCAUUGGUCAAAACUGAAGUCACAUUGUCAAAACUCUUCACACAGUCAGCGAAACAGAAGUGUAUGUGGACCAAACUGUGAAUCAUUUUUCAUUGCUUUCACACAAAAUGCAUCCAAUGACCACAUUCUCCGAAAUCCAUGAACACUUUCCACAUUCAUACUCCACCACCUGCAAAACUGUAUAUUUGCAGCACAUGUUUUCAAAUGCUAACACACGGUUUCCAAAACUGUUAAAAACACAUUCAAAACAGAAUGAUUGCAAAUGUCAUGCAUUUCUGCAGUAACCAGAUUGAAACAUAUAGAAAAUCUCAGCAGAAUAUUUAAUCAUUCCAAACACAGCUGAUUGUAAUUUCAGCUGAAAGCCGACCCAAGUGUCCUGUUUUUAGUCUCGUUACCAAACAGACAAAAGAGGACGGCUUCGGAAUGGUUUAGUUUGGAAACCUGGAUCAAGGAAGACAGGUUGGUGGGGAAAGAAGAGUGGCAGGGAGAGGGAGAAUGCGUGGCAGACAAAGGAGAGGAAGACCAAGAGCGGUGGUCUCUGAGUAGGAUCCGAAGGUUGCCUCCCACAGGAGGGAGAGGCAGAAUAUUAUCAAUGUGCAGGAAAUUGCCAUUGUUGACAUGGUAAUUGGCAACAAUGCAAUAAAACUGUGGGAAACUCAGGGCAGCGUGGUGGCAGACAAUAUCACUUUUGGGAAUGUGAGUCCUAGAGAAACAUAAAAUAAGGAUGAAGCAGUUGUACGCUGUACCAUUUGAGAGGAACGUGUGAAAGAACUCCGGUAUCGAUAUGUCCAGAGUAAUGGAGAUGGAAGCCAGGCAAACGGCACAUACAUUCCUCUUUGUGGAUGAAGCUGGAUUCAACCUGGCAAAAACAUGCCGCAGGGGAAAAAAUGUGAUUGGACAGAGAGCAACCGUGGAUGUCCCAGGCCAGAGGAGUUAACAUCACCAUGUGUGCAGCACUGUCCAAUGAUGGUUUCGCUGUUACCAGGGGCGAAAAUCUGAUAUCAACUUUGGAGGGGACAAUUACGUUACAUUUUCUCAAGAGCAAUUCCUGAGGGGGACACCAAAAGUAGUGCUGUAACACAUAGCCUACGUUUAAUAUGGUAAAUGUAUAUUGAGGAACCAAAGAAAUAAGGUGUUUGCCGUGCUCCUAACUACCGGUACCCAAAACUACACAACUAAUCACAACAGCAAUACCAUUGCCUUUAACAAAUCUUAGUUCAGUCACCAGUUUAAGUUGAGAGUGGGGGUAUCCAUGGCAUUUUCCAAUUAUGUUCCUAUUUUACAAGUAAAAAAAAUUGAGAACCUUUCAUAAUGUUGCCAAACAAAGACUCAACAAACUUACCUGAGACUCCCUGUCUCUGCCAGUCUGUCCCUGCAUAUCUGUCCCCAACUCAGCUGUCUGUGUGCCAUCUGUUGCCUGCUCUGCCUAAUGACAUCAUUGUGAAACAUUUCCAUUAGAAUUUAAUUUCUUUCUUAUGAACAUUUUAUCAACUAGUCUUUGAGAUAUUAGGCUACUAGGGUUCUUACUUUGCAUAUUGGUGUACUGAAAAAUACUCUGAUGUCUGUCUUUUUUAUUUUUCUGCCAUUUUUCUGCCAUUUUUCUACCUGGCUGGCUGGCUACACACACACAGUAUGUGGGUUAUUUACAGUAGGAGAUGGGCUUCUAUCAUCUUAUCUUCUAUCGUUCUAUAUGGGCUUCGAUCUAAAAGG